rnacentral:tRNA from 2 species
AAGGUUUUAAGUUAAUUAAACUAAUAAUCUUCAAAAUUAUAUAUAUAGAAAUUUCUCUUUAAGCCUUA